CACUCCAUUACUUUUUGACUUCAAAUAUUGGCAAUUUCGAUCGAGCUGUCGAGGUCGAGGUUGAAAAACCACAUUCCACAUCUCCUCAAAGAUUCGAAUAUCGAUAACAUAUUCAUCUCAACUCCCCAAAUCUUCCUUGGACUGGGCCGAUUGGCUGGGGAACAAAUUCUACAUCUACAAGCAAAAAUAAAUGGAGCUAUUACACUAGUUCUCAUCCCAUUUCCUCUGUUACAUAUAAACUGAAUGCGAGUGGAAUGGUUAUGUACAUACAAAAAGAAGCUGAUGAAUCUUCGUUUCCAAACCGCUAAUAUCCCAGAAAGUAGUCUUUAUGCAGGCGCCUAUGCUUUUGUCCAUCCCCAACAUAAUGUUCGUGUUCUUUCCCUUUCCGGGCUCUGGGCUUACCGCCUAGCCAAUUCACUCGCCGUCAUGUCCAGUGUAAAACUCGUCCUAAAACUCUUCGUGGGUACGAUAAUCUUUUGCCCUUUUCCUUUUCCCUUUGACCCUCUGGCGGCCAUACCGAGACUCAUGCCCGAGUGCGGUGUGUCGGCGAUACGCGCGAAGAGCGCGCGGGAGAGGGGUUGGGAUUUGGGGAGACCAGAAGGUCGGUGCGGGUGCGGUGGGGCAGGGCUGAUCUCAGAGGAUGUGGGAUGGGAGGAGGGGAUGGAAGGGGUAAGAGGGGUGAGGGGAGUAAGACCUCUUGGGCGGAUAGCUCGUUGUGGUGGGACCGGCGCGAGCGUAUGAGAGUGGGGAUGGGAUUGCGAGUAGGAGAGGGAAGAACGUCCGGGAUCAGAGGCAAAACGUGAAAGCGUCGGACGAGGACGGAGGGAAGGCGAAGCAGAAUUAAGGAGUGGUGAACUGUGAAUACCUUGUUCAUCACCGUCACCAUCUUCUUCUUCCGCUUUUCCGUCUUCGGCACCGUCACCCAACACUCGCUUCCCCUUCCGCUCUGGCGAUCUUUCAGCAUCACAUUCAUCCGUGGGCGAAGACCCUAAACUCCAACUAUCACAAGAUGAAGAUCCGCUCUCCCUUCUUUCUCUACUUUUAGAGCGAGAGGCAAAAUCCGGGAGUUCGGGGAAUUGGGAAAAGGAAAAGUCAUCGUCCUGCCUCGAGGUAUGGCCAAGGGGGGAGGAUGGGCCGGAGAGUCGAGGUGGAGAUGGAACGAGAUUGAAUGACAUUUUGGUUAUUAAACGAGUAUUGUACGAGUGAGUGGUUUACCACCGUAAGAGAUGGACGGGUGGUGGAUGGGUGGUGGACGUAUGGAUGGCUAGUCACCAAAAAGCGGGGAUAGU
rnacentral:sRNA from 1 species